UACGUAGGCAGCGAGCGUUGUUCGGAGUUACUGGGCGUAAAGGGUGUGCAGGCGGUUGUUUAAGUUUGGUGUGAAAUCUCCCGGCUCAACUGGGAGGGUGCGCCGAAUACUGAAUGACUUGGAGUGCGGGAGAGGAGAGUGGAAUUCCUGGUGUAGCGGUGAAAUGCGUAGAUAUCAGGAGGAACACCUAUUGCGAAGGCAGCUCGCUGGGACGUAACUGACGCUGAGACGCGAAAGCGUGGGGAGCAAACAGG
rnacentral:rRNA from 1 species